rnacentral:rRNA from 1 species
GAUGAACGCUGGCGGCGUGCCUAAUACAUGCAAGUCGAGCGAACAGAUGAGGAGCUUGCUCCUCUGACGUUAGCGGCGGACGGGUGAGUAACACGUGGAUAACCUACCUAUAAGACUGGGAUAACUUCGGGAAACCGGAGCUAAUACCGGAUAAUAUAUUGAACCGCAUGGUUCAAUAGUGAAAGACGGUUUUGCUGUCACUUAUAGAUGGAUCCGCGCCGCAUUAGCUAGUUGGUAAGGUAACGGCUUACCAAGGCAACGAUGCGUAGCCGACCUGAGAGGGUGAUCGGCCACACUGGAACUGAGACACGGUCCAGACUCCUACGGGAGGCAGCAGUAGGGAAUCUUCCGCAAUGGGCGAAAUCUUGACGGAGCAACGCCGCGUGAGUGAUGAAGGUCUUCGGAUCGUAAAACUCUGUUAUUAGGGAAGAACAAAUGUGUAAGUAACUAUGCACGUCUUGACGGUACCUAAUCAGAAAGCCACGGCUAACUACGUG